rnacentral:rRNA from 1 species
GUAGGUGGCGAGCGUUGCCCCGGAAUUAUUGGGCGUAAAGCGCGCGCAGGCGGGUUCUUUAAGUCUGAUGUGAAAGCCCACGGGCUCAACCGUGGAGGGUCAUUGGAAACUGGAGAACUUGAGUACAGAAGAGGAAAGCGGAAUUCCACGUGUAGCGGUGAAAUGCGUAGAGAUGUGGAGGAACACCAGUGGCGAAGGCGGCUUUCUGGUCCGUAACUGACGCUGAGGCGCGAAAGCGUGGGGAGCAAACAGGAUUAGAUACCCUGGUAGUCCACGCCGUAAACGAUGAGUGCUAAGUGUUAGGGGGUUUCCGCCCCUAAGUGCUGCAGCUAACGCAUUAAGCACUCCGCCUGGGGAGUACGGCCGCAAGGCUG